GACGAACGCUGGCGGCGUGCUUAACACAUGCAAGUCGAACGCUGAAGCUCAGCUUUUGUUGGGUGGAUGAGUGGCGAACGGGUGAGUAACACGUGAGUAACCUGCCUCCUUCUUUGGGAUAACGCCCGGAAACGGGUGCUAAUACUGGAUAUUCACUGGUCUUCGCAUGGGGGUUGGUGGAAAGGGUUUUUCUGGUGGGGGAUGGGCUCGCGGCCUAUCAGCUUGUUGGUGGGGUGAUGGCCUACCAAGGCUUUGACGGGUAGCCGGCCUGAGAGGGUGACCGGUCACAUUGGGACUGAGAUACGGCCCAGACUCCUACGGGAGGCAGCAGUGGGGAAUAUUGCACAAUGGGCGCAAGCCUGAUGCAGCGACGCCGCGUGAGGGAUGGAGGCCUUCGGGUUGUGAACCUCUUUCGCUCAUGGUCAAGCCGCAACAAUGGUUGUGGUGAGGGUAGUGGGUAAAGAAGCGCCGGUUAACUACGUG
rnacentral:rRNA from 1 species